CCAUCAGGUUAAGCUGGGGACUCUAAAGGAACUGCCUACGCAAGUAGUGAGGAAGGCGGGGAGUGACGUCAAAUCAGCACGGCCCUUACGUCCAGGGCUACGCACGUGCUACAAUGGCCGAUACAGAGGGCAGCUACCUGGUGACAGGAUGCAAAUCUCCAAAGUCGGUCUCAGUUCGGAUCGGAGUCUGCAACCCGACUCCGUGAAGUUGGAUUCGCUAGUAAUCGCGCAUCAGCCAUGGCGCGGUGAAUACGUUCCCGGGCCUU
rnacentral:rRNA from 1 species